rnacentral:rRNA from 1 species
UACGUAGGGGGCAAGCGUUGUCCGGAAUCAUUGGGCGUAAAGCGCGUGUAGGCGGCUUGGUAAGUCCGCUCUGAAAGCCCGGGGCUCAACCCCGGGAGGCGGGUGGAUACUGUCAAGCUCGAGUCCGGAAGAGGCGAGUGGAAUUCCUGGUGUAGCGGUGAAAUGCGUAGAUAUCUGGAGGAAUACCGGUGGCGAAGGCGGCAUCCUGGACCGACAUUGACGCUGAGGAGCGAAAGCUAGGGGAGCAAACGGG